AAAUUUUAAAAUGAUCCCCAAAAUUGAAAAUCUUGAAUCCUUUAAAAUCACUAUAUUGUGAUAUGUGAUUUUCAAUCUCAGUAAAUGUUUUGAAUUUUUUAUUUUCAUUUCAAAUAUCAAAUUGAUGCAUCACUACAAUAUUAGAGAUUGAAAAUGUGAUUUACCAAAAAUAAUUAAUGGUGUUAAAAACAUGUUUCCGAAGCAAAGAUCCCUUAAAAAUAUAAAAUAAAAAAACAACAAUAACGGUGUUAAAUAAAAAUAUCAAAAUCAAAACAAAAUAAUAACAAACUUAACACUUCAACAACAAAACAUCUAACCAUAAAUUGAUAAAAUCAAGUAGUCGCUUGAGCUUGAUGAUCGAAUGUUGUCAUGUAAACAAAACUGUUGAAGAGAUUAUUCCUUUAAAACUAUGGUUUGGACAAGAUCACAAGAGAGACAAGUCUUGUAAACUAUGCUACAUUUUGGCCAACAGUACUACCUUUUGUUUUGUCCAAACCAUAGUUCUAAAGAUAUACUCUUUUCAAUUAUUGGAUGCAUUUGUA
rnacentral:lncRNA from 1 species